UGCAAGUUCGAGCGCCCCGCAAGGGGUAGCGGCAGACGGGUGAGUAACGCGUGGGAACCUACCCUUUGGUUCGGAAUAGCCCAGGGAAACUUGGGGUAAUACCGGAUAAGCCCUUCGGGGGAAAGAUUUAUCGCCAAUGGAUGGGCCCGCGUCGGAUUAGCUAGUUGGUGGGGUAACGGCCUACCAAGGCGACGAUCCGUAGCUGGUCUGAGAGGAUGAUCAGCCACACUGGGACUGAGACACGGCCCAGACUCCUACGGGAGGCAGCAGUGGGGAAUAUUGGACAAUGGGCGCAAGCCUGAUCCAGCAAUGCCGCGUGGGUGAAGAAGGUCUUCGGAGUGUAAAGCCCUUUCGACAGGGACGAUGAUGACGGUACCUGUAGAAGAAGCCCCGGCUAACUUCGUGCCAGCAGCCGCGGUAAUA
rnacentral:rRNA from 1 species